ACAAUGGAGAGUUUGAUCCUGGCUCAGGAUGAACGCUAGCGGCAGGCUUAAUACAUGCAAGGCGAAGGGGCAGCAAUGUCACUGUCGUACGGGUGCGUAACGCGUA
rnacentral:rRNA from 1 species